rfam:Nicotiana sylvestris Nsyl_contig108293, whole genome shotgun sequence.
GUGAGCCGUAUGAUAGGCAACUAUCUCCUGUGGUUCCGAGAGGACUCAGCUGUUAGUUAGUACCCUGUUGGUUUUGGUGUGGACCUUUUCACUCUAU